CAGGCGGUGUCUGAGGGCCCCAGAGCUGGGCCGUGCCACCGCCUACUGCUUUGAGACCGACCCCCUCUGCCAGCCGAGGGGACAUUGUCAGUGACCAAGCUCUGUGGUUUCUAGUGCUGCUCAGUAUCUAUGCUGGGCCUCCUCUCUGACUCUAUUCCCUGGCUUGUACACGUUAGAGAUGCACCGACUUUGCUGGCAGCUCAUAUGUACCAGGACAUGAGAUUACUUUCUGAGGUAAUGCUGGUAGCAAAGAGGGUGUUUUGCCACCAAACACCUUUGGAGCAUGGAGUAUUUCUCAUGGAGUUGCUGAAAUAUGGAAGUAUCAUCCCUGACUUCUAUCUAUUGUAGUGUAUGUAAAUUUCAGGUGGGUAGUGGAUAAAAAGCUUCUGAUGUUACUGGUUUUCUUCAUGUGGCAUGCAGGAAAAACUGAGGUUUGCUUUAUUUUCUGUUGAGCAAGAGAAAGGAACCUGCACCAUCCCUGUCAACCACAAGUAGAAUGGCUUGCCUUCACAAGUGGCAGAAGCACAGGAAGUUCCCACUGUAAAUAUCAAGCUUCAGUCCUCAAAACCAAGGAGUAUUUUGAAGUACUCCCAACCAUAAUAGCUCUUCUGACUGAAAACAAAACACAGAAAGGUGCAGUAAGUUCCAGUCCCCAAAUGCAGCUCUUGUUUAUCUGUCAUUCUACCAUGAAUCAGCUAACACAAACUGCUACCCUGAUCCAGAGCAGCUGUCUAAUUACAAUUUUGUUAUUAUUAAUUACUGAGUAGAAAAUAAUUUGUAAUUGGCUCAGACUAAAUCAUAGUUUAAACAGCCAAAAAUUACAUUACAAACUAAAGUGUAAUUAGAGCACUACACUAAAGUGUUUAUUUAAACCCAGUCUAGCUACUGCAGAUUUUUCAAUCAGGUUCUCAGGCUCAUACAUAGAUGUAAUUAGUCUUCAGUACUGACAGCAUACUGCAUUUAUUCAUUAAGCAUCAAUAUUGUUGAACAAAUGUAAAUAAAACUUAGACAGGAAUUCUUUAAAGGGGCAGUCAUGGAAACAUCUGGGUGAGAUAAUGAAGCUGGGAAUGAUGUGAAUGUCAAUGAGUUCUGGUGCUGCUCUGGUACCCAAAUAAUUUUUUUAGACAUUCACUUUGAACUCCUACUACUUGCACUGAGUUUGCAAGCACCUUUUACUGGUGUGUAGUCACCUAUCUAGACUGAUUCUGUGGGACUCUGGGCUCUGCACUUGGACAGAUUCCUACCAGAGACAGGAUAGAAUUUUGUCAUCUAACACCAGGAAGGAAAGCAGCACACAGCAAUGCCACUGACUUUUCUUAAUAUAUCUUGCUGCAUCUAAUGUAAUUUAACUAAUUUUAAAAUACACAGUAAGACUCUUGGCAAAAUUUGUUUCUUUUGAUUAUGUGGAACAAAACUAACAUAUUUCUUACAGGGUAUGUCAUAAUAAUUUCAGAAAUCUGACUUCUGCUACACAUUGCAGGGAGUAACUUUCUUCUGAGUUCUUAGCGGAGAAAGCAGCUUUUGUCCCUGGAAGGAAGAAAACCAACAUUACUAGAAAGAAGAACAUACUGUGAUAUAAGACUUCUAGGACACUUGUGGGUAAAACUUGGUGGUAGGCAGGGGCAAGUACACUCAGUAUUAGUAGAAUGAAUGACAGGGAUAUGGAGAUUGCUCUGACAUAAAUAUCAAUAUUGAUGAAAAAAAGCUAUACUAUGCUGUCUAAUGGUGAUAGUGUCGUGUCCUCCAUGCUCAACUCAGCUAUUGACACCAUGGUACAAAUCUCUGAACAGCCCAGAACUUCAUUAUGUAGUGUCAUGACAGUGAUGUUACAAAACAAGGGAAACACCUUUCAUACUAUUAGCUUCAUGAGUAUAAAAAACAUAAAUUCUUUCUUCCAGUUCUAUUCAAGAUCAAGAUUUGAUCAAGAUCAAUAUUAGCUUCCAGGGAAUUUCUCAGGAGUCACAUGCUCAGGUGAAAAAAAAUAAAUCUUUAGAAGCCUGUUUUAUUUCAAUCUUUGAGCAUUUGAAACUUGGUUUUCCUAAAAAUAAGGUUUUAAAGUGUUCAAAGAGUGCCUUUAAAAAGUGCUCAAAUAGGUUUUAAACAGUCUAGCAAAGACUGUUCAAAAGCAUUCACUGGCAACCCCAUCCUGAUUUUGUAGGUGGCCUUAAGAUAUCAAUCAUGAAGAUAUGUUGUGCUUGUCUGUGUGAGUGCACUAGACACCUGCUUCAUAAUAAAAGAAAGUGUAAGUGAAUACAUUACCAUUGGAACUAGUGUUUCUUCACUAUUUUGCUAAGAUAUUGCUCAUGUCAACAUUUCAGUCACUAAAGUGUGUUUAUAAUUUGGUAGGCAUGAUACUUUUCCGAUUUUGUGGUUUGCAUUCAUGUCCUCAGCUCUGUCCCAUAAAAAACCUCUAACGGAACUUUGAGAAGCAAUGCACAUUCUUUACUCUUUGUAUCUCCACCUCCAAACCACCUGGCUUAAUAUAAAAUUUCUUUCCUCCUUCCCCCAUUUAUUGAAGCUGGCUUUGUGGCAGCCUUCCACACUAAUGCAUUCAGUAACUAUCUAAUAAUAAGACUUAAUGAAAAUACAUAUCACUACAGAUAAUAUUCCGCAGAAGCUGACUCCUGUGAUGAAACUUUGAACACCAUAAACAGGCCAGUAAAGUAAACUUUGCAUCUGGUAGUGCUACAGACUUUAAGAAUAUAAGGAAAGUUCAACAAAAAUUAUAUUAAUCCUGCUUGAGUAAGUAGUUAUAUUAUCAAGUGUGCAGGAGUGGAAGAGGGACCACGUUAGCUGUCUUAAAGCCUAAGUAUCUGGUGAAAGUGAUCUUUCUACGUGUCAGACAGGUGUGAUACUUGGGCUGAAAUAUUAACAGGACAAAACCAAGACACCUCAAGGCAGUAAUGGUCUUCCCUUAUUUAAGGCUGUGGACAAAUUUGGACUCUUCUCUAUAGAAAAAAAAGGAAAAGGGAAAAAAAAGGGAAGUUUGAAGAAAUCUUGCUAUGUAAACUUAUAAUUUUAACUGAGGUCUGUCUCUUUUACAAACAAGUUUCAGUAACCUCAUUUUUUUCUUAUUCUUUGUCUCAUAUUUUCUGUCUUCCUACCCAGAUUAGGUAAUAAACAAUGGUUUAGGAUUGGUAAAAUGGAUUUAUGUAAUGGAUUAGGUAAAAAACAGUGCCUUGUCUGACCACAGUAAAGUGAACCAGGGCUAAAUAACCAUGAUAACCACUUUUUAAAUGCAAGCCUAUAUGAACCAUACUGUUCAAUGUACUCAGUUCUGAGCAAAUGCAGGCCAGCUGUGUACCUUAUGUGAAGAAUAUGGUCUUAGUUUGGUAAAACAGUUGAUUGGAAAACAUGAUAGGUGCCUUUCAAAUGUAAAAUCAAUUUCAUGCUUAUUUAAAGACUUACUUGCAAUAGAGUUCUUGAAGCAGAUGCUUAUUUCCAUCUCUGCAACACUAUGUACAUAUUUAAGGACAUGAAUAAUAUAAUUUUUAAGAGGAAAUUAUGUUUUUGUCAAGGAAGCUAUCAACCAGAUAUGAUAUUUAGUGGGAUUUUUUUUUUCCCAAUGUGGGAAAUGUUUAUAUGGUUUCAGAUGACACUGUCCUUUCACAUUCCUUCAGUUCUCUUGACAAAAACGAUUCCCACUGAGGAGGUGUUAUUAAAAUUAAAAAUAAAG